CUUGUUGAAAUUAAGAACAAAUAUGUCCAGAAUUGCAGAGUCUCAAGCUGAAUUAACAAUGGAAUAUGAUCGAUUGAAGGAGUUAAAGGCUUUCGAUGAUACAAAAGCCGGUGUUAAAGGAUUAGUUGAUUCCGGAAUUGUGGAAAUUCCAAGAAUAUUCAUUAGGCCAUCUGAUGAACUUGUUGAAGAGUUGACUCAGGGUAAGUCCACUCUACAUUGUCCUGUGAUAGAUUUCAGUGGCAUAGAAGUUCAAGAUCAUCGUAAGAAGGUUGUCGAUGAAAUAAGGGACGCAUCGGAGAAGUGGGGAUUUUUCCAACUGAUAAAUCAUGGGAUUUCUUCAAGUGUAAUAUUGGAAGGAAUGAUUGAUGGGAUUCGUAAAUUUCACGAACAAGAUGCUGAGGUAAAGAAAGAGUACUAUUCGCGUGAUUUCCAAUCGAGAAGAGUAAGAUAUGAGAGCAACUUUGAUCUUUAUCAGUCAAAAGCUGCAAACUGGAGGGAUACAUUGAACAUUUCUUUGCUACAUUCAAGUCAUAUUGAACCGGAAGAAAUACCAGCAGUUUGCAGGAACAUAAUCGUUGAGUAUAUAAAUCAUGUCACAAAGCUAGGAGAAACUAUAUUCAGCAUUUUAUCAGAAGCGCUCGGGCUAAAGCCAGAUCACUUGAAAGAUAUGUAAUGUACUAAAGGAAAAUCAGUAGUAUGCCAUUACUAUCCAGCAUGCCCACAGCCAGAGCUAACUCUUGGCGCUGCGAACCAUACAGAUCCUGCUUUCCUUACUGUUCUUCUUCAAGAUCAAAUUGGUGGCCUUCAAGUCCUGCACAAUAACCAAUGGAUAGAUGUUAAACCGGUUUCACAAGGAUUGGUUGUUAAUAUUGGCGAAGCACUUCAGAUCCUAUCAAAUGACAAGUUUGUGAGUGCAAAUCAUAGAGUUAUAGUGAACGGGGUAGGACCAAGAAUGUCAGUGGCAUGCUUCUUCAAUGGUAGUUUUGCACAACCAAAGAUCUACGGUCCGAUCAAGGAUCUAAUAUCAGAAGAAAAUCCCCUUUUGUAUAAAGAAUUUACAGUAACUGAUUACAUUGCUAAGUUUAUGUCCAGGCCUCUUGGUACAUGUGCCCUUGACCUUUUCAGACUGUGAAGAAACACAAAAAAUCUACAUUACCAAGCAGCGACAAACGCCAUCAGUAUAGUCCUUCAUAAAACCUAUGAUUGUUGUUCAUUAAAGUAUGUUCUUAUCUGUAAUAAUGUUUUACACAUGAGUACUGGAGGAAUAUGCAGCUUAUCCCUUUAUAUGUAAGCAUUU